GAUACCCUCUGUUGUCGGGCAUUGGAGCAUCCCCAACUCCGGAUACGAAAUCUUGAUCCAGAUACCAAAACUGACAACAAUGUGACGCCCAACAGCCUUGUCCGCCACUACGUCCUCGUUAUCCCGCCUGCCGCCUCCAGUUCAGCUCCAGCUCCUACUCCCGCUCCCGCAUAUUUGUUUGUUUAGUUACUAGUUUAUCGAGCAUGCGAAGCAAACGAAAUAUGAAAACCCAUUCGGAUUAAAGAAUAGCCUUAAGUUGUAAUUUAUAGUAAUGUAUUUUUUAAAUAAACUUAUGUGCAUUUGAUGUACAUGGA